rnacentral:misc_RNA from 1 species
GAAAUGCGAUAAGUAAUGUGAAUUGCAGAAUUCCGUGAAUCAUCGAAUCUUUGAACGCACAUUGCGCCCUCUGAUAUUCCGGGGGGCAUGCCUGUCCGAGCGUCAUUGCGAACCCCUCAAGCACGGCUUGUGUGAUGGGCCCUCCCGCGUCUUGGUCGUCAAGACGGGCCCGAAAUGCAGUGGCGGCUUCGCGGUUAUCCGAUCAGCCAGAGCGUAUGGGGACUUUCUCUCUGUCACACGCCCGCGGCGCGGACCGACGCCUGUCGACCUUCAUUCAUCGUUUUCUCGGUUGACCUCGGAUCAGGUAGGGAUACCCGCUGAACUUAAGC